UUUUCUUCUUGUUGUUGGUGGAUUUUGGUCGUUUUGGCAUGGACCUAUUGUGGUUUUGGUAAGAAAUGUUUACGGUGUGUGCAGCAGUGUUUUAUUAAAUUAUCGUGAAUAUGAUUCUCGAAGAAUAAGGCUACUUAAAUAGUGACAAUACCAUUGAUUUCUUUGAUUGGCUGGGCCAGCAGCACUCUCUUCCUUCCGUCUUCUCGCCUUGCCCGCCUUGCUCUAGCCGGCUCAACCUACCUAGAGACCUGGGCUAGGCGUACCUGCUGUUUAUCAGUAAUCUUUAUCUGUGUAACCCAAGCAGCUUGCAAAAAUUAUAGGCUUGUUUCUAGCCUAAUUAGCACCAAAAUACAAACAAUUCCAUACAAAAUGCAAAAAAAAAGAAAGACAGAUUGAGAAUGAUUUAUCAGUAGUCUGCUAACUAGAAUUCAGCAGAAUAUAAAAUGCUAAAAAGAAUGGAAUAGGCCUAUCUUGCUGGAUGGUGGGUGAUGUGACAGUGUUAUGCGAUCGUUUACUUUCCAAUAUAGAUG